ACCCACCUGGCGGGUGGGAAAACCAGGGUCUGGCUCUAGCACCAGCCCUGCCAAAGGGAUCUCAGCAAUUUCAAAGUAUCUUCUCUGCUGCGCUUGGCUUGCUUUCAGCAGUCUUUUGCUCAAACACCGAAUUCCUCCUUGGGAAGUGUAAUAUUCAUGAAGGAGACACGUUAAUUAGCAAGCCGUCUGCUCCUUGCUUUGGCAUGUGAGUAGGUGGUGUUACCUCUGGAAUUAGGUUGGAAUCCGUUUGGUAUUUAGGUGCAUUUGAUUUGCGAGAGCUUGGAGGCCCCUUAAAGAGCUCCUCUAAAGCAUGUUGAGCUACACACAACAUGCUUCAUGUUAUGUGUUUUCUCUCUGUAGGUCUGGGGCAUCCAAGGAGAGCUCAUUCCCAAGCAGGCGUCCCCCAGCCAUGUGAAUAAACUGCAGAGAGCUGACCGCUGUCGAUCAGAAUGGAUCCUGUCAUUCAUGGACACAUCUUUCCCUGCAUCCACAAACAGAUCCACGACUAUCUCAGACUUUGUCAUGGAAGUUGCUAUGGGGAAGCCGAUCCUCAAAUUGCACUUUACCUUUGGUUGGAAGCCUAACGAGCAAAUUCCAGUUAUGCAGCUUUGCUGCUGUCCCCAGCCUGGAGGAAUAUCACUGCCUCUGUUAGAGUUAUAAGCCCAAGGGUUAUGUUUCAGCCUGUUACUGAACCCUGACAGCAUGGAAGUGAACAUAGAAAGGAAGGUUUCUGCAUCCACGUGCAUCCCCCGUCUAGGCCACAUGGGCGUCCACUGGAGGACCUUGACCUCAGGGUAAACAGAGGCUUUACUGAGCCCAUGAACUCCUGGUUAUCCACGGCAUGACGGUGCUUCCAAGCCAGGUUCAACGAGAGGGACUGAGUUGGAUGGGUUGUUUCCUUUCUGCCUUUUCUGAGCCUUUUCCCACCGGUGUCACCCACCUCACCAAACAUGAGCCCUGUGGGGCUGCUUCUCCACGGCAGUGGUGUUAGGUGCACCCAGCUGCUCCCUGCGGUGCCAGCCAGCUCUCUGGGAGCAGAAAGCCAUCAUUUGCUGGCACCUUUGGAAGCAUAUCCCGCAGCAGAGGACCGCUGUUGUGCCUUCUUUCCCCAGCUGAUGGUGUUGGGGAGGAGAAGGCAUGUUGGGAGAGAAUGACUUCACAGAGCUGCUCCGGGAAUCGGUCAUCCUCUCCUCACAGCGAGGGCUGCUGGAAGAGAGCCCAGCAAAGCCCUACCAAUGAUGUCUUCAUCCUCGUACCCCAUUACAGGCAGGGUUUGCAAAUGCUGAGGCGAUGCUGUUCACUGAAAAGCCAGCCAGCUCAGCCAAUAAUGUGGCUUUUAGUGGCUCUGCUCAAAGCUCUGAGAGCUUCACAGUGUGUUUUGGUUGGAUGGCUCCAUAAGAGUGGAUGAAGUGAAUGGAGAAAGCUGGCUCUUUGGCUGCUUUUCUCAAAGUGAGUGAGCUUUGCCUGAAUGAUGAACCCAAUAUGGCUGUUUCUAGACCCCACAGCUCUGCAAGAUGAGGAUUUCCCCACUUACAGGUGUAAUGAUGUUCUCCAGCUGCACCUGAAGCACAAGGCAGGAAUCUCCUAAUGCAGCUCAGCAACCUUGGGCUCAGUUGGUCACUGAUGAAAUAAACCCAGGCCUCAGCAUGCUGUAAGAUAUCCCCGCAACCCAAAAUCACAACAGAAGGGUGUGUAGAAACACUCCAGUCCUGGUAAAAGGGCUGCACAUCCACUGUGUGUUGUACAGGGAGAACUCCUGUCCUGUCCCACAUCCCUCACUGGGCUGCUUUUGCAAGAGUGAGAAGCAUGUUCAUCAAAGACAUCUCCACUGGAGUGCCAAAAAUGCUUUAAAAUUACCUGUUUUCCAUUGGGAAGGGGAAGAAAUACAGAAUAAAUGGUUCUUGUAAGCUGUCUCACAUGAAACACCAAAGGAUGGAGGCAAGUAAUUAAUGAAUCUCACCAACCCUAUUGGAAGGGUGCUGGCCGCAGUACUGGGAAGCGGCUAUGGAAGGCAGCUGCCUCCCUUGCUUUGAUCCAAACCAGUGUGAGCACCCAUGCUGGCCAUCCGGAAACACAGGCUCAUGCUGGAUCCAGCGGUGCCAGAACCUGAGGUGAGAGAUGCUUCUCUUUGAGUCAGGAUCAGUAACCUCUGGAUAUAAUGAAAACUAAAAAGGCAGGACCUCCUCCUCUGCUCCCCCACGGAGAAGAUGUGGCAAAACCUUCCCUGAGUUCUGGUGACCACGUGAUGGCAAGUACAAGACGAAGCAGUGGGAGCUGGACUCCAUGCCCAGCUCCACCACUGCCACAAGACAUGACCAUGCCUCCAACCCCCCGCCCGAUGAUGGAGACAGAGCUGUUGCUGGUGCGAUGUGAGCCGGACUAUGGGUGGUACCCAGGAUGCUCAGUGGAGGGGCUGUCUUGCUGCAUCUGAAACCCAAACACAAUUACCUGGUGUCUGCUAAGCUGCAAGGACCAGGCAGCACUGCUCCACUGCCUGCAGAAGGAGAGAGCCCAACAGGGGUGAAUAACACGAUGGCUGUACCCCCUCUCCCCAAAGCGGCCUCAGGCAGCUCCCAUUAGAUCAUUUUAAAACCAGCCCUGCUUGGCCUCUGUGUCCGAUUUAAUCAGCAUGACCGAAUACUUGCCGACGGGGAAGCCUUGUUUGAUUGUGGAGGUAAUAAGAUGAUUCGAACACAAGAGCUGAUAGUUUCAA